AGGACUGUGUGAUGUAUUUUCAGAUGAUGCGCACAGAUCCCAGCAGGGUGGCCUUUUGCAGCUGGCAGAUCGUAAUUUUGUCAAUGUCUAUUGUUUCCAAAUACCAGCUGAGAUCUUUUGGCACGGCACCCAGUGUGCCCAUCACCACCGGGACCACCUGCACUGGUUUCUGCCAGAGUCUUUGAAGUUCAAUCUUGAGGUCCUGAUAGCGGCUGAGUUUUUCCUGUUGUUUUUCAUCAAUGCGACGGUCACCUGGGAUGGCAACUUCAAUGAUCCAAACCUUUUUCUUUUCCACAACUGUGAUGUCUGGUGUGUUCUGUUCCAGAACUUUGUCAGUCUGGAUUCGGAAGUCCCACAGUCUCUUUGCAUGCUCAUUUUCCAAUACUUUUGCAGAUCUGCUGACAGCACCGCAGCGGGUGAGGAAUAAGUUUCUCAAGGAGCAGAGGGACCUCGCUGCGACUCUAGGGAGACUUGAACACCAAAAGCGGAGCAGAUGCAGGCAACUGGAUGAGGAAAAAAGGCAUUUUCACCUUCUGAUGAUAAAGAAAUUAGCCCCCAAAGUCACCACUAGUUGUGGGUCCUCCUCUAUCGGAAAAGGAAACUUUCAAGCAGAGUUCUCGGAUGUCCAGUUUUCAUCUCUGGCAUUGAGCAAGAGCAGCUGGAAAAGCCUCGAGACCAAAUUGUCCACCGGACAAGAUGCCACCUUCCACGCAAGAGUCCGAAAUGAAUUUCCACCAAAGUUUUGCAAAGUAAGCUUAAAAUCUGGGGGACCUAAAAUGUGACGUUAAAGGCAAAGAAAGGACCAUCAUGUAACAAAAGGAAGUGGCCCCAAAAUCCAUAGAAUCGACAUGGUUAGUUUGAUAGUGCAAGCAUAGAAUCAUAGAUUCAAUGAUUCAUAGAAGCCUAUCAACGCAGAAAUAGAUCAUGUUGUGUUCAAUAGAUUUCCAUAUAUGGUAUAUAAAGACUUUAGCAUAAGUAGAAUUUGGGAAUUAUCAAAUCAAGCUCCAACAACUCCUAGCCAGUAUGUUCACAUUUUGUAGCUAGAGAUUUGGGAGGCCAGAAAAAGUAUCACAUAUCACCCUGGAAAAAAAGCUGAAUUGUUCCUGUUUAAUUUUAACCAAUAGGAACCUGGCUCUUCUUUCCCAAACGCUGUGCCAGCCGAUACAUACCAACACCUCCCUGGCAAGAGGCACCUCGCAAAAAGUGGAAGCGACUUGCCAUUCUUCCAUCACACCACAUCAUCCGUAACCCUUUGUGGAACUAACCAAGGAGAUUAAUGCUUGGAUCGGUAAACUAACUUUUGAUACUUGCUGGAAAUGGAUGUAGCUUUAUAUAUAGCUUUGUUAACAUGCACAUUUUCAUAUACCAUGAACCUGGUACCCUCCAGAUCUUUUAAUUUCCGCUUUGAUGAUACAUUACCACUGGCCAUAUUAACCAAGACUGAUGGCAGUCACAGGCAAAAACAUCGAGGAGAAUAGGUUGGGUAUGGCUACAGUACUGGCUUCGAGCCUUUUUCUAAACCCAGCCUCUAUCCCUUAUUACUAGAGAUGGACAAGUUAGCUCAAAAAGGGCCAAAAUUACUUUUUUUAAAAGUUGGAAGCAGCACAUCCAAUUUUCCAAGUCAGUCGUCAUUUGUACAUCACCCACACAUCCUACUCUUGGGUUAAUACGAGAUAAAGUGUAGUCAUUUGAACUGUUUUUAGUUGCAACUUUGAACUUUUUUUGUUGUCUCUUGAAAUACUGUAAACCAUCUUUUGAGUCUAUUACAUGAAAAGUGUGGUUCAAAUGUCCCUUUAGUGUGUGAUUUUCCUUUUUUCGUGUCAGGAGCGACUUGAGAAACUGCAAGUCGCUUCUGGUGUGAGAGAAUUGGCCGUCUGCAAGGAUAUUGCCCAGGGGACGGCCAGAUGUUUUUCCCAUCCUAUGUCCCCGCAUAAGGAGCUGGAGCUGACAGAUGGGAGCUCACCCCGCUCCCUGGAUUCAAACCACUGACUUUUCGGUCAGCAGUCCUGCCGGCACAAGGGUUUAACCUUUAACCUUGUACUAUAUUGACAUGGUCUGAACUUAGGUUUAUGUGCAAUGGUUCCUUGGAAGAAUGGUAUUAAGCAACUAUAUGUUUUAAGCUUGACUAAUGUAUUUUAUGGAUUAUUAUUAAUGGUUUUAAAUGUGUUGCUGUUUUUACUGAUCUGUUUGGCAUUGAAUUUUGCCGGUUGUUGUAAGCCGCCCUGAAUCCACUCGGGUGAGAAGGGCGGGGUAGAAAUGUUGUAAAUAAAAUAUAUAAAUAAAUUAACCCAUUGACCUGUCUCCUUGUCUUGUGCACAAACUUCCCCAGACUCCACCACUUUGCUAUCUAUCAGCAGCCAUUAAGAGUCCUGCUUUACUGUAAUACAGAGCCCAAAGAGAGCUCUUAACUAGGGAUAUUAAUACUACUAAUUAAUAAUAUAAAUAAUAAUAAAUAUAUUGUAUGUACUUAUAAUAUUGAUAAUAUAAUGUAAUACAUUAUUAUACUAAAUAAUAUAAUAUAAUAUUAAUUAUAUAUUAUAUAUAAUAUUACUAAUAAUAUUACCAUAUAAUGAUAUAGUACAAUAUAGUAAUUUAAUGCUUAUAUUGUGCUAUGCUAAUAAUAUAUUGUAUGUUCAUUUGAUUUGUAAGCCGCUCU
rnacentral:lncRNA from 11 species